CGUAGGUGGCAAGCGUUGUCCGGAUUUAUUGGGUUAAAGGGUGCGUAGGCGGCCCUGUAAGUCAGUGCUGAAAUAUCCCGGCUUAACCGGGAGGGUGGCAUUGAUACUGCAGGGCUUGAGUAAAGUUGAGGUUGGCGGAAUUGACGGUGUAGCGGUGAAAUGCUUAGAUAUCGUCAAGAACACCGAUAGUGAAGACAGCUAACUAAGCUUUAACUGACGCUGAGGCACGAAAGUGUGGGGGAUCAAACAGGAUUAGAUACCCUGGUAGUCCACACUGUAAACGUUGAUUACUCGAUGUUGGCGAUACACAGUCAGCGUCUUAGCGCAAGCGAUAAGUAAUCCACCUGGGGAGUACGCCGGCAACGGUG
rnacentral:rRNA from 1 species